UACCAGCACCCCGAGUGGUCGGGACGUUUAUUGGGCCUAAAGCAUCCGUAGCCGGUUCUACAAGUCUUCCGUUAAAUCCAACUGCUUAACAGGUGGGCCUGCGGAAGAUACUAUAGAGCUAGGAGGCGGGAGAGGCAAGCGGUACUCGAUGGGUAGGGGUAAAAUCCGUUGAUCCAUUGAAGACCACCAGUGGCGAAGGCGGCUUGCCAGAACGCGCUCGACGGUGAGGGAUGAAAGCUGGGGGAGCAAACGG
rnacentral:rRNA from 1 species